UACGGAGGGUGCAAGCGUUGCUCGGAAUUAUUGGGCGUAAAGGGCAGGUAGGUGGUCUCAUUUGUCUGGGGUGAAAGCCUUGAGCUUAACUCAAGAAGUGCCUCAGAAACGGUGAGACUGGAGUCCUGGAGAGGGUCGUGGAAUUCCCGGUGUAGCGGUGAAAUGCGUAGAGAUCGGGAGGAACACCAGAGGCGAAAGCGGCGACCUGGACAGGCGCUGACACUCAACUGCGAAAGCGUGGGGAGCAAACAGG
rnacentral:rRNA from 1 species